AUUGAACGCUGGCGGCAGGCCUAACACAUGCAAGUCGAGCGGAUGAAGGGAGCUUGCUCCUGGAUUCAGCGGCGGACGGGUGAGUAAUGCCUAGGAAUCUGCCUGGUAGUGGGGGAUAACGUCCGGAAACGGGCGCUAAUACCGCAUACGUCCUGAGGGAGAAAGUGGGGGAUCUUCGGACCUCACGCUAUCAGAUGAGCCUAGGUCGGAUUAGCUAGUUGGUGGGGUAAAGGCCUACCAAGGCGACGAUCCGUAACUGGUCUGAGAGGAUGAUCAGUCACACCGGAACAGAGACACGGUGCCGACUACUACGUGAGGCAGGAGUGGGGAAAAGUGGACAAUGGGCGAAAGCCUGAUCCAGCCAUGUCGCGUGUGUGAAGAAGGUCUUCGGAUUGUAGAGCACUUUAAGUUGGGAGGAAGGGCAUUAAGUUAAUACCUUGCUGUUUUGACGUUACCGACAGAAUAAGCACCGGCUAACUUCGUG
rnacentral:rRNA from 1 species